rnacentral:lncRNA from 1 species
CAUCGGCUAUAGCUCUUCUGCCUCACCCAAUCAACAGCUUCCCUAGAAAAAAGGGAACAGGUUGGGGUUACUUUAAAUACCCCACUUGAGAGUCGUCUGAUCUAUUGCACUAAAUCUCGGCUGUUGGAUUGGUCAUGGACAUUUUCUUCAUUUCACAUGCAAAAAUGAAUCCUAGAUGUCCGAUCUUCCUUCCCUAAAUCGUGGUCGUUCGAUU